AUGGGCGGACUUGGGCAAACCCCAGAGGCUUCCAGGAGGACGUUGCGGGAGCUGAUCUGCUCUGGGCAAAGGAGGCCUGGCUUUAGGAAGCCGGGAAAAACGCGUAGUUUCCUCCACCCCCCUGCCCGCAACGGGGCGGGAGAGACUUUCUGAUCCAAUUAGCCCGCUACCGCUCUGGGGGUGAACCGAGGCCCUGCCCAGCAGCCGUGGUGGUGGCUGAGCUGGCCAUCCUGGAAACGGGGCGAGAGAGUCGGUAUCCACCCAGUUUUGGAAGGAAGAAAAAUCUGUGGGCUGAGAGCUGGGACGCCAUGGGAGCAGCAGCGCCUCUGCACAUGUGGAAAGCUCGGAGCUGCCAAUGAGUAAUCGAACCCUUCCAGUCCUACUUCUAGGGUUAGGCAAAAGUGCUUACGCCCCGGCGUCUGUUCCAAGUAUCUCCAACCGCAGAACCCGUCCCCCUCUCAGUAGAUUACAGGAGCCCAGGAUGAGAUACUUUGUUUGUUGAACAAAAUGGGUUCUAGGAAGCAGUCAAAGGAUGAGCAUCUGAAUCCACAUCAAUCAGAAAUAGUGUCAAAAUCAUCUAGAAGAAGGAAGCGAGACUGUGGAGAAUUGGAUAAUGAGUUACAAGCAAAAAAAAUAUUUGUGAGGAAAACCAAACAACUACAAAAAACAGGACAAGCUUGCUUUGGUGGCUCCGUGUUUCGAAAUUCAAGAAUUGCCUUCCAUCCAUGGGGAAUGCAAAAGAAUAUUGUCCACUAUGUUUAUCAAAAUAUGGUGGAUGGCACUAU